rnacentral:lncRNA from 1 species
AUGUUACUGUCAAAUAAUCUUUUUUGCUACAUGGUUUUUUUUUUUUUAAUAGUGAUAGGCUUUACUCCUGUAGAAACUGAAAAGAAAAUCACUUGCUUUAGGCCAGAAAAUAAUUGCCUGGCUGAAAUAAAUGAUCAAACCUGCAAAGAACUUCAUUUUUUAGCUUCAACCAGCAUAGUUCCACAGAAUUCACAGCAAACACCUACAAAUAAAAAUUGGGAUGUGUUUUUCGUCCCUUUACUUCUACUGUUUCUUACCAACAGAGAGAAAAUCAGCCCUUGUUUUGGUGGGAAUGUCCUUGGGAGCUCAGAAACUCUCAGUCGUGAAACAACAAGCCAAGCUGUUGACAAAUGCAUGAUUUGCCCCUGCAUGAUGAACCAUGGGGCAGCUCAUGGGUUAAGCACUGCCUGCUGGCAACGGCACAGGAAGCAGCCAGAGCCACGGACAACAGCAGCCUCUUCACCUUGGACCAAGGAGUACCAUGGAGCCCAGUUUCCCUUCUGGAGAUUAACCAAGUUUCCUGUAGAACUGAGUCAAUAUUCACAUCUGUUUAGCAUGGAGCGUAAAAUAAGCUGGAAACCGCGCUCUUCUGCCUCUUCACUCAUACAGCAGAAAGACUUUACAAGUGCCUGCACAGGAGCAGCCUGAUAUGGGGGAAUAACAACAUAGCAGCAGUAAGACGGGGAGGCAGGAAGGAUAGGGCUGAGGACAAUAGAAAAUUUUGUUUCCUCAAAGAAGAAAUGGAAGAGUGGGUGUUAAAUACACAGGAUUGGCUAUCUUUUACUGGCUUCUUGGUUAAAGAAAACUUGAAAGAAGAAGUGGUUAGACAUUCUGCUCUUCUGGAGCCAGUGUGAAUACAGAGUGCUAAUGUGGAAAAAGUCACAGUGGGUACUGACUAACAGACUGCUCAGAAAGUCCCAUAAUGCUCACAGUGACUCUGUCAUGUCUUAUGAGCCUACAUGUAGCCAUUUUUACUUACUUUACUAAGUCUCCUUACAUUUUUAUUAAUAAAUAUCUGCAUGUGUUCUGAACAGAAAAGGACAGGACAAGCUGUUACAUUCUUCUAAAUUCUCCAUUUUUCAGCUCCUCUCCCCAUGCAACACACAAAAGAAGAAAGCAUCACACACUGAAUUGCUUUUCUUGUUCCUUUACAGAGACUGACAAGAACCAGAAAAACGUUCUCAUAACAAGGACAAGCUACAAUAAUGAACAAAAAUUUUUGAUCCUAUUGAAAAAAAAAAUUAAUUCCUCACCUGAUGGAUUUCACUUCACUAAACAAACCCUCACAUUUCAAGUUUCC